UUUUAGACGUAAUUGACUGCAAAGGCUGUUUAUAUAUAGAUAGAUAGAAAUAGUUUUAGCCUGCAUGGCUAAGUAUGCAAAAUAUAAUACAUUAUAACAGGUGUGUUCAUGUCAGAAUAACAAACAACAUGGUGUUGAAAGAUUGAAGAAGAAAAUAAAUUUUUACGAAUAUAAAAAUUGUCAUAAUUUUUUCUUCCACAUUGUCCUUUUGAGAGCUUAGAUUUUUUUUUACCUACCCAACACAAUUAUCAAACAAUAAUUAGCUUCAAUACUUUACACAUUUGUCAUCACCAGAACAGCAUUAUUUGUAGCAUGGGAAGACUGAUCGUAUGCCAAAUUAGUAGCUUUGAGUUACAAAGGUCCAUUGAACACAUUGAAUAUCAGCUUUCCCAUAACG